ensembl:lncRNA
AUUCAUUCAGUCCCAGUGUAUAAACUUCAGAAGAGGCAGGAAGAUCUGCGUGCAUUUCUGGCUCACACAGUCAAAAUUCAUGAUAGGAAACAGGCGCUGAAGAGAAACCAGCACUUGCCAGACUACAUGUGCUUUUAUAAAACUUGGUAUUUUAUUGCAUUUACUUCACAUACUGUACUCAUUACCAGUCUUGUGAGGAAAUUCAGCCCUUUGUCAAUAUUCAGUGAAAAAGACGAAGUCCAUCUGCCAACAGAGCAUGGAGGGAAUGUGUACGAGUGAAAUAGUAAUGCAAAGAUUGGGUAUGUGGAAAGGAAAGAAUCUGAUUUAUUUUUAAAGAGCAGAAUUACUGGUAGAUGAUGAAUUCAGUGGAAGUCAGCUAGAACCUGUUGUACACCAAGAACUGAACAUCCAUAACUAGAGAACAUUUGACUUAAAAGGUUGUAUGGAAGAGGCGCUCCAGUAACACAGUGUUACUUGUCAGUCAAGCAGGAGUCACUACUAACAGUACUGAUCAAUGGAUUUUGUAUUUAAUGCAUAUUAGAAUGGGAAAAACAGCUCUGUGACACAGGAUUCGUUACAUUAGUAGUACGAUGGACUGACUUUACAGUGUAGUCAUCUUUUGGACUAUCUUAGAUUUAGCCAAAUACUUCUGUUAGCCUUUCUACAGUUUCAGAUGUUCCUUGAUCAAUGUGUGAUAUCAAUUACCUCCCAUGUCAUCCCUUCCUGUUUUCUUCACUAUUAAAAAUCCUUCUGAAUUUCCCUUCUAAAUCAGAGGGUUUCAUCCUUGGAAGCAGCUUCUGCAACAGAGAUCAAGGCAACUUUCAGUGAGUCACAAGGUAAGGUACAGGAUGUUUAGAUGCCAGCUCCAUGUUCUGUCUUCCUCUUGUUUCCCCUCUGUAUCACAGGCUGAUACCCCCAGCCCCAUAAUGCGUCUGUGCAUUCUUCAGCUCAGUGGGGCGGCUGUUUAUUCUGUCAUGGGCAAUGGGAGAAAGCAAGCCAUGAGGAUAAGAGUAACACAGUCUGUUGAGUGAGUUUUCUUCAAUGUCUCCCUCUGAAUGUGCGAACCCUUGUGGCUGGAGGUUGUCCAGCUUUUUUGUCUGCAGCACCUCUGCACCCACAGAAUAUUCACAGCAGAACAACUGAAUCCUCAGCCAGUAUCAUUCUAAUAUCACCCUCAGUAACUGCCCUUCACUCUCUCAUUCUCCCGUGUUCCUAGUAUUGUUGCUGUUACCAGCAGCUCAACUAACAUCAGAAAUCUGAGAGGUAAGGGAGGUGGUGUAAGGGGUCCACCAGGCAGGGGAAGGAGAAGCAGCUGUCCUUCUAAGGGAAGGCUGUUAAGAUCAGCAAGUCCUUAUGUGAGGGCACUCCUCCAGCAUCACUGCUUACAUCCUGGAGAGCUCAGUUCAGAGCAUUUUGAGAGGAGUGAUCAGAAAUAAUAAGUGGGAAAACAAACAAAAUGCAACAGACCUGAGGAGUUCACGUGCAUGUCUUUGGAACGAACAAAUACCUUUUCAAGAAACUAAGGGCAAGAUGUUCUUCCUUGAGCUUCCAAGAGCUUCUUUGCUUUCCCGUUCUGAUUCACAAGGAGGAGAUGAUCUCGACAGAAAAAAUAUGGUCUUCGGUAGAGUAUAUGGUACGUCUCUAAAAGUACAGUACACAGGGAAGCUGUAAGAACAUCUGUGCCUUUGUGUAAAGAGCUAACGUUUUACAACUUGCUACAAGAUAAGUAGGAUUCUGACACUCAGCAUCAAAUAUGUUAGAAACGACAUUGAUGCAUAAAUUGCAUUUUCCAACUUUGGAAGAGAUGCUAAAGGAAGGAAAAUGUUGAAUGAGCAGAAGUUGAUACUGUGUCGGAAAUUUAUGGAUAGUAUGUCUUACCUUUUCAUGAAAAUCUGACAUUCAUAGCAUUUACUACCUUGAAAUAAAACGACGUGAGCAGCAACAGCCAAUUGUAAAAGAAACCCCACUGCUUCCAGAUAAAUUUAAAGAGCUACUCCCACUCUUCAAAGGUUUUCUGACAUGAAAGGCUCCAGCAGAAGAACAUAUGUGGGAUAACAAAGCUCAGUAGAAACCAACUAUCUGAAAAAGAAGGUGACAGCUGGGAAUCCUGCAUCUAAGAAAUGCUGCAAUCAGGAUUCAGCUUUUAUAGGCUCUCGGAAAAGGAGAGAUGCUCUGGUAUCCACCUUGGGCUGAGACUGAGAUUCCCAAAUUCUAACAUGUGUUGAAGCAAAGCUGUGUGUAGAUAAUUCCUGAGUAGCCAAGCAGAUUGUCCUGGCUGAUACUGAAAGCUGUUGGUACAGCAACUUCUACUACUGCUACCUACAGUGACGGCAGUGGGUAGUGAGCAAGAUGGAUUUGGGAACCACCAAGCUGGAUGUGUUUAUUCAACUGCUGACUGAGGUAAUGUGUUCUUACUUUAGUUGAAGAAGAACAAGAGAACACUAAUGAGCAUGGAGAAUAUACAGAAGUUAAUGAAAGCAACAUAAAUAGGUGGUGGAAAAAGAUAAGCCCUGUUAGCUGGGUGAAAAGGGAACUAGAGACCAUGGCCUGAGCAUACAAAAUGUAUUUGGUGUUUUUUUUCCCUGUUUUCCUGACAAAUACAGCAAGAACUAAAUGCUGAGGAGAAAAAGCGCCAUAGAAACAAAUAGCUAGGGACAUCUUUGCUUAAUAUGAACUUCCAGUGGAAACUGAAAAGUGGAGCAGCUAGCAUUAACCAUUUUUUAACACAGCUAUUCAAAUCUUGUUGAAUUACACAACUUGUAUUGAAAUAAAUAGGAACUGCUGGUCCUGAGUUUUAUUACAAAUUAGGCCACUUGAGAAAUAGUUGCAUAACUGGUCUGAAAUAAGUAAUUGCUGUAAGUCUGUAAGUUUAGAUGUUGCUGAAGUUUAAGCGGGUGGCUUAGUCUUCAGUACUUUUUUGCUUUAUUAUUAUUCAAGUAUGCAUCAAAUUUCUGUAAUCACUUUCUCAAAGAGCCUUAGAAUUGUCUACUGACACAAGUGAUCUGAAACAAUUUGAGCAAGUGGGAAGCACACCAUUAGCACAUCCCGUGGUCCGUAGCUUACAAAACAGUAGUUCAAACUUCAGGACAUCUAGUACCAAAACAAAAACAUCGUGAUCUAGCGGCUGAAUCAGUAUAAACUCAAGCUGUCAAUACAACAUUGUUCAAAUGGGUUGGUCAUUAAUUUGUGGGACAGGUAACUUCAAGCUGUCUGGCUUUCUGUGGUUCUGCUGUUGUGUGCCUGACUCGACCUUUCCUAGUUUGCCCAGAUUUCUUUUUAAUAGCUCAUUUUUGUCAUUCUCACUUUCUAUGCUCAGAUAUAUUGUUUAAGUUUUCAGAUUCCCUAUCCUCAUUCCUUUUUUCAUUGGAUACUCACAGAACAUUCACUCAACAGAUUUUAUUAUCUUUGUCACAGAUCCUGACCUAUCCAAAUGUUCAGAAACUUGUGAUCACCUCCUUUUUGUUGUUGUUUUUAAUCGUCUUUUUUUUCCUUUGGCCUCUGUAUGAGCUACAUAGCUGCAGUUGCCACAUCUUUAUGACGUGCUCUGUCUCUGUGGCUCUAAACAGAGGCUGUACCAUCUGCCUCCUUCUGGUCUGGCCUGAUACUUUCCUCUCUUUGGAACUGCCCAACUCAAUUUUGAAGAAGGAAAUGCAAAUGACUUGGACAUCAAUUCUGGUCAAAAACUGGUGGUAAACUAAAGCCAUGUGUGAAAAGUUGGCAUUUCUCUUUUCCCCAACUAAUUGUUAAUCAUGUGACAAAUUGGAGAUGGUGUAUCAGAGGGGAUAGGAUUUUAGCUCAGGAGAGUGAAGCUCUGUCUCUAGACAUUUCCCAUAACAGUGAGAUUUUCUGUCAGCUACAGCAGCCAUCACUUCUCUCUCCACAAAUUCAGUAUGCCCACGCAUGCCUUCUAUAGUAGCAACUCUGUCACCUUCUUGUCAUCCUAAGAAUGAGCAGACUUGACUCUAUCAGCAAGCAGCCUUGAUAGCCUAUCUGGAUACACUGUGCAUUUUUUCUGGCUGGAAGGCUAGCAAAUCACUUUUUAUGGGAACUUUGGAGUGGCAAGGAUAGUCUUUUGGGGCAUAUUUUCUUGCCCAAAGAGUAUUGGGUGAACUGCUAGGAACAAAAACUAUAUGCCUUAGCCAAAAGAAGAAAUUGCUCUUCAGAGGAUUGGAUACAUGGGGACAGGAAGAAAGAGAGAGAGAUGUGUUUAUCACAGAGAAAAGCUACCCAAUUGAGGAAAGUCUAGCAUGCUUCACUGUUUACCAUGAGCUCAGGGGACCAGAGAUCUUCUGAAGUGUGUAUCAUCUCCAGAAUUUCACUGGAUGCUUGCGUACU